ACGGCGUCGCCGGCUGCGCUGGCAGCUCCAGCCUGCCCCUCCUGACACUCUCAGAGUCUGGCCUUCUGCUGGGCCCCGGGUCUCUCACUGGCAGAAUGGAGUUUUCGGAGCUGAUCCACACUGGCUGGGCCCAAGCGGAGCUUCCACCGGGCCCGGAGACGCUCCCGCUUCGCGGUUCGCUGUGCGUCACUGUCUACCACCUGCUGCUGUCGCCAGGGCCCGCGUCCUCUCUGGACCUGUGGCUGCUGCUGCUGCGCAGCGUCGACUUCUUCGAGAAGCAGGUGGCGAGUGACUCGGGCACCAUCACCCUGCGCUGUAAGGACCUGCGAGUGCUGCAGCUGUAAAUAGAGGGCGCAGAAGCAACGCUGGACAUCGCCCCCUCCAUCGAGGUGUGGCGAGGGCGCGCCCAAGCCCUUUAAGCUAUCCCUGUCUCGCGUAGAGGGGAAGAAAAAGGUGCUACUGUUCAAAGAGGCCCCACAGCCGCAGCUAAAUGGCAGGGGAAUGCAGGGUGUUCUGGGGUACUUGGAGAGGCCGAAGCUGAAGCUACAGGGCUGAGGGGCUGGAAAGGGCGCGGGCGAGACGAUUCCGACUCUCCCCAGAGCCCCUGACUUCCUUCUCCGGGCGCUGUCCUCCCUGGAAUCCGUCAUCACCUCCUUCCCUUUAUUCUACCGUCCCAAGGGACUGAGAUUGGGCGACUCCUGGCACUUCCUUCCGCCCGAACGCUACUACAAGAGAGUAGCUCGCGAAGUGGGGCGGUCGUGGGGGCCCAGUGAGGUGGAAGCGCCGGGCCUGGAAGAGACGCGGGGACAGGGCACUCCCUGGGUGCCCUAGACCUGGCCUCUCUCCUCCCUGAGCCGCAGACCAACGCGUGGCGGCUGAGCGAGGUGAACGGGGACUUCACUUUGUGCCCCAGAUACCCCCGUGCCGUGAUCGUGCCACACGUGGUGGACGAUGAUGCCCUGGCGCGCAGCGCCCGCUUCGGUCAGGGAGGUCGCUUCCCGGUGCUCAGCUACCCCCUGCUCCCAGUGGCACCGUGAGCGCGCCCUUCCCACGCUCCGCCCCUAGGCGGCCGUGUCGUUUCUGGGCCUUUUCUUUUUGGCCCGGCCAAUUCGCGGCCUGGCCGCUGCCCCAGCUCCUGCUCCAUUCUGGUCCCGCCCCUCUCCCGCCUUUUCACAUGGGAGGGUAUCACCUUUCUCUGGCCCCGCCCCUGACGGUUAUGGGCCUCGCGAAGCUUAGUCCCUUCUUGGUCAAGCCAGGACCCGCCCACGGUCUAUUCAUAGGGUCCCUAACCACUUUGGCCACAACACCCGCAGACUGGUCCGAAGCGUCCUGAGUUCUCCCUGGUCUCUCUACUCCAGCCUGUCGGUGUGCAGACCUGGCCUAGGGGCCCUCUAAGGCUGGGGGGUCACUUCCAGAGCUGAGUCCGGUCCGCAGGUUCUGCUACGCUCCAGCCAGCCCCUGACCGUUCCCCAGAAGCGGCGCUGCGAGAAGGACCAGGAGCUGCUGCGAACUGUGCUGGUAGGGGCUCGUCCUUGGGCGCGGGGCUUCAUCAUGGACACGCUCUUGGCCCAGGCAGCGAAACAGGCCCACGUCACUGGCGGAGGCACGGAGGCCAAGGCCGCUUACCCUGGCUGGUAACGGUUAUACGGGUCCCUGGAGAGGUAAGGAGCCUCCCACCCUCUCCCAAGCCCUCUCCUGUAGGGCUCUGUGAAUGUACGUGUGUGUCAGUGUGUGUUGGGGUGAGGGGGGAUCCUCCAGGAACCCCGAAGACUCAAGCCUUUCCUGGUGUCAUCCCUCCACAUGGGCAACCCGACUUACACACCAGCACUGAGAGAGCUCCUUUCUCUCUAGGCACCCCAGCUUUGCCUGGGAAGAAAAAGCACCUCUUUACAUUAAACUGAAAUUUGUCUUCCCGGAACAACCUCCCUGCACACACGCACCCCCUCCCUGAGGGCUGCACCUGCACAGAUGGGAUCUGUGCCCUGUGUCUCCAGGUGAUGGCAGUGCCAAGAAGAGGUCCUGAGGGGAGUAGACUGCUUCCCUAUCCCAAAUACAAAGCUCUGUGUAUUCAUUUAUUUACCCAGCACUGAGCAACAGGGGCUGCCAUGGUGGCCAGCUCAGACAGGACAGAACUCAGCAGAGAAUGGACAAUCAGGCUCCCCUGAGAUGAGCAGCAGCGCAGAGGAGGUGCCCCUCUCUUAUUCCGCCGACUUCAGGUAAUGAGAGGUUUCCCUGAGAAUAGGAUGCUUUAGCUGAGUCCCAAAAACUCCCAGAAGAAGAAAGAAAGACCCUGCAUGGAGGGAAUUGCAAGUGUCCAGGUGCAGAGACAACCUGGUCAUUUGUCCUGUUUGGGGAACUGCCAAGUACAGUAGUUCCCCCUUAUCCUCGGGAAGUAUGUUCCAAGAUCCCCAGUGAAUGCCUGAAGCCUCAGAUAGUACCAAACCCUACAGACACUAUGUUUUUCCAUACCUAUGAAAAAGUUUAAUUUAUUUUAUUAUUUUUAUUUAUUUUAUUUUAUUGAGACAGAGUCUCGCUCUGUU